rnacentral:miRNA from 1 species
GUUGGUGUUCUUCUGAAGAGGACAAUGCCACUCUACAGAAACAGCAGGCCCCAUGCUGUUUCUGUAGAGUUGCAUUGUCCUCUUCAGAAAAACACCAACAC